rnacentral:rRNA from 1 species
AGAGUUUGAUCAUGGCUCAGAUUGAACGCUGGCGGCAUGCCUUACACAUGCAAGUCGAACGGUAACGGGCCUUCGGGUGCCGACGAGUGGCGAACGGGUGAGUAAUGCAUCGGAACGUACCUUCGAGUGGGGGAUAACGUAGCGAAAGUUACGCUAAUACCGCAUAUUCUGUGAGCAGGAAAGCAGGGGAUCGCAAGACCUUGCGCUGAUUGAGCGGCCGAUGUCAGAUUAGCUAGUUGGUGAGGUAAAGGCUCACCAAGGCGACGAUCUGUAGCGGGGUCUGAGAGGAUGAUCCGCCACACUGGAACUGAGACACGGUCCAGACUCCUACGGGAGGCAGCAGUGGGGAAUUUUGGACAAUGGGGGCAACCCUGAUCCAGCCAUGCCGCGUGAGUGAAGAAGGCCUUCGGGUUGUAAAGCUCUUUCGGCCGGGAAGAAAUCGCAUGGGUUAAUACCCUGUGCGGAUGACGGUACCGGCAUAAGAAGCACCGGCUAACUACGUG